GAGAGUGCCUUCNGGAAUUGUGAUACAGGUGCUGCAUGGCNGUCGUCAGNUNGUGUCNUGAGAUGNUGGGNUAAGUCCCGCAANGAGCGCAACCCUUGUCCUUAGUUACCAGCGGGUUAAGCCGGGAACUCUAAGGAUACUGCCAGUGACAAANUGGAGGAAGGCGGGGACGACGUCAAGUCAUCAUGGCCCUUACGACCAGGGCUACACACGUGCUACAAUGGUAGGUACAGAGGGCAGCUACACAGCGAUGUGAUGCGAAUCUCAAAAAGCCUAUCGUAGUCCAGANUGGAGUCUGCAACUCGACUCCNUGAAGUAGGAAUCGCUAGUAAUCGCGGAUCAGAAUGCCGCGGUGAAUACGUUCCCGGGCCUUGUACACACCGCCCGUCACACCAUGGGAGUUGAUNGCACCAGAAGUGGUUAGCCUAACU
rnacentral:rRNA from 1 species